GGGGCGCGAUUCUAGAGUUAAUCAUCACUCGAGCUGAUUAUUACUUGGCUUCGUCUUGCUGGUUAAACGGACAGUUGACUCUCCGACGUCAAUAGAUUCGAAGAUCAUACAAUUCUUCCCGAGCAGGUUUUGCAUUCACUAAUCUUACCGAGCAAACAGUACUCGGGUGUGAAGACCUGAAUGGCCUCCUGCCUUUCUCAGGAUGUUCUUAUCGAUUGUACACAGAGAUAUACUCACGUCCAGCAAGAUCAACCAAAGGCACAACUCAAUCAGCAAUAAUGAGCCACACCAGCACCUCAGGGUCAGGCACCCAAGGAGAACAGACUGCACCUUCCUCAUUCUUUUCUCUUAUCACAGCCACAAUGGGAUCCUGGAGCACAGAAGCUCAUGAGAAGUGCACAGAGUGCACUGUAGAUAAUAAUCACCCCAGGCUCAUUGAGAUUGGUCCCAACUUGGAAUGGCUAAAGGGACAGUUCUCACACCAUGGGCAGCAGGAACUGGGAGCAGUGACUAAAUGUGAAGUCCCAGUCUAUUCUUUAAUAAUCUCAUGCUUGUAGCUUCAGUUCACACAGGACAAGUCAGAUACCAGAUUGAAAUGGCUUGAUGCACACCAUUUUGUCUUUGUUCAAUGUAAUGGAGCAUUUUGCACUGAAGCAUCAGCAUGCAGUGCUGAUAAUUUGAAUUUAAGAAUUAAGUUCUAAUUUAUGAGGUAGAAAAAGCAUUAAAACAGAGGAAAACCUGGCCAUACGGCCCAGUAUGCCACUGCUAGCUCUUUGUGACAAAACUUAAAGAGCCAGCAGAGGAACUGCAGGCCAAGUGGUUUCCUUAACUACAAAACAAUACCUGCUUAGCCUGUGUGAACAUUGUCUUUAAACCUUCACCACUUCAACCAGUUAGGUCUCUCUGUUCACUGAUAAAUAACUGAUUAACAGAAACGCUUACUCUUUGAUUCCAGUUACAUUUGGUCUCAGUUAGUGAAAUGUCUUUAUAAUAAGCUCAAGAUGGAUCCAAUCCUCAAUGUUCAUCUGUAAUUAUUAACUACAGAUAGUCUCUUAUUUCCUAUAAAGAGCCUCCAUGUUCCAGUCAUCUCACCAAGAUUCUGAAGGACUCUGCAGAGAAAGAUGAAAGCACUGCUUUUGCUGCUAAUCAACCUGGUACUCGUCGAGCCUAUCACUGCCGAUGGAGAAUCGAGGCCAAGGUUUUUUUCUGGCCUAUUCAACUCUUGUGGAUUCCGCGGAGGAACUUGCAAGCGAUCUCCUUGUGAUCCGCAUGAAAUCCCUUACAAUGGGAUUUGUACCAUCGGGCUAUACUGCUGCAAGAGAAAAUGGACAUACAGCGAAAAAAUUCUAAAAUGAGACCCAUCUGAGGCACCAACUGAUGCUAACCAUCAUCUCUGUAGAUCGUCUGUGUUUCCUUGUGUGGAUCCAAUGACCCCUGUCCUAUUGCUUU